CGACCCCAGGUCAGGCGGGACCACCCGCCGAAUUUAAGCAUAUAAAUAAGCGGAGGAGAAGAAACUUACGAGGAUUCCCCUAGUAACGGCGAGCGAACCGGGAAGAGCCCAGCUUGGGAAUCGGGCGGCGCCGCCGCCCGAAUUGUAGUCUGCAGAAGCGUCCUCAGCGACGGACCGGCCCCAAGUCCCCUGGAAGGGGGCGCCCGAGAGGGUGAGAGCCCCGUCCGGCCCGGACCCUGCCGCACCACAAGGCGCCGUCGGCGAGUCGGGUUGUUUGGGAAUGCAGCCCCAAUCGGGCGGUGAAUUCCGUCCAAGGCUAAAUACGGGCGAGAGACCGAUAGCGAACAAGUACCGCGAGGGAAAGAUGAAAAGGACUUUGAAAAGAGAGUCAAAGAGUGCUUGAAAUUGCCGGGAGGGAAGCGGAUGGGGGCCGGCGAUGCGGCCCGGCCGGAUGCGGAACGAGGCCCCCUCGGUCCGCCGCUCGGCUCGGGCCGCGGUCCGACGCGGGCUGCGCCGGCGGCCGAAGCCCGGGCGGUCGAUCCCGCCCGCGGAGACGCCGUCGGCGCGGCCGAGGCAGCGGCGCGCGCCCUCGCGGCGUGCCCACGGGCACCCGCGCGCCCCAGGCGCCGGCCAGCGGGCUCCCCAUCCGACCCGUCUUGAAACACGGACCAAGGAGUCCGACACGCGCGCGAGUCGACGGGUGCGGAAACCCGGGAGGCGCAAGGAAGCUGACGGGCGGGAGCCCCCCCUUUUUUGGGGGGGGGCGCACCGCCGGCCGACCCCGACCUUUUGUGAAGGGUUCGAGUUGGAGCGCGCCUGUCGGGACCCGAAAGAUGGUGAACUAUGCCUGAGCGAGGCGAAGCCAGAGGAAACUCUGGUGGAGGCCCGAAGCGAUACUGACGUGCAAAUCGUUCGUCUNACUUGGAUAUAGGGGCGAAAGACUAAUCGAACCAUCUAGUAGCUGGUUCCCUCCGAAGUUUCCCUCAGGAUAGC
rnacentral:rRNA from 1 species